rnacentral:misc_RNA from 1 species
CCGGGAUUGAUUUUCGGAUCAUCUCCAUGACCCUUUUUGUUUAUUCAAAAAUGUCUUUUUCUUCGGCAAGACGUCUGAUUCGAAAGAAUUCAGCCAUUGAUUCUUUGGUAACUCAAAGAAUGAAUGUGUUUGCUUGCCGAAGUUUUUACUCUUUUUUUCUUGAAGUCUGAGUAUACAAACAAAUAAAUUA